rnacentral:rRNA from 3 species
CUGGCUCAGGACGAACGCUGGCGGCGUGCCUAAUACAUGCAAGUCGAGCGGAGUUGAUGAGGUGCUUGCACCUCUGAUACUUAGCGGCGGACGGGUGAGUAACACGUGGGUAACCUGCCUGUAAGACUGGGAUAACAUUCGGAAACGAAUGCUAAUACCGGAUACGCGAUUUGGUCGCAUGACCGAAUCGGGAAAGAUGGAGCAAUCUAUCACUUACAGAUGGACCCGCGGCGCAUUAGCUAGUUGGUGAGGUAACGGCUCACCAAGGCGACGAUGCGUAGCCGACCUGAGAGGGUGAUCGGCCACACUGGGACUGAGACACGGCCCAGACUCCUACGGGAGGCAGCAGUAGGGAAUCUUCCGCAAUGGACGAAAGUCUGACGGAGCAACGCCGCGUGAGUGAUGAAGGUUUUCGGAUCGUAAAGCUCUGUUGCCAGGGAAGAAUGCUUGGGAGAGUAACUGCUCUCAAGGUGACGGUACCUGAGAAGAAAGCCCCGGCUAACUACGUGCCAGCAGCCGCGGUAAUACGUAGGGGGCAAGCGUUGUCCGGAAUUAUUGGGCGUAAAGCGCGCGCAGGCGGCCUUGUAAGUCUGUUG